GAUACCACUUUUUUUUGUUUUGCGUUUGCUGCUCGUCGCUCGCCGCGUCGCGAAGGGCCGAGUUUGAGUGAAUUUUUCUCUUGUUUGAAGUGUGCUUGCGCCUUGUGCUCGUCCUGUGUGUUCUGCCGGUGCUGCAUAUUACGAGGAUGCGCUAUACUCAAGCGAAGACCGGCUGCUUCAUAUCGUGGAGCACUCACCAGCCUAUACGUGCUCCUUGUACAAAGCGAGUGUGAAAGAAAUCCGGACAAGCCUGUCAUCAACGCUGGCUCAUGGACAAGUUCGUUGCUGAUGUACAGCAGCUGCGCAUGGCUUCUGUUUCCUGUACAAGGGAAACAACGGAGUGGGCACUUCAGCCACCUGUUUGCUGUAUUCAAGUAGCUCACAUGUAGAGGGUGUUCAAAAUUAAGCUUUUUGUUUUUCUUAUAAAAAGUCCGCACUGUAAGUCACGUCAAAGCCACCUUUGCAGAUAAGUUAUUAUCCAGGGGGACACAAAGUGGGACAAUAAUUAUCGCUGUCAGCCAUGCAAUUAUUUAAGAUUUAAUAAUGAACUUUUUUAGUGACUGCAGCAAGCGGGCAUGUAUGAAGAAGUUUGAGCCAACUGCAUUUUUACACGAUUCCACUUGGAAGAAUUCUUCUAGCAUGUCUAGGCUCAUUCAGAUAUCCUGCUGCAAAGUUUAAUUCCGGCUUGCAUCAUUACACAUGCAGGACCUUGAGCACUGGCACAAAGCUCCUCCCUGAUGUGCCACGUUUAAUGUUACAGCGUGUCGAAGGCAUAGGCAAACAUGAUAGCGGUUACCCUUUUCCUGCCGGCUGGUGAUAGCAAGCAGUGACGGCUCGUCACACCAGGGAGUAAUAUUUUGCUGAUCCUCACCGCCUCGCAUCAUGCAAACCACAGUUAAACGUUGCAGCGGGAUAUCUCACAGCACAGACAUGCUAGAAGAAUUCUUCCAAGUGGAACUGUGUAGAAACACGACUGCCUCCAACUUUUCAAUACAAAGAUGCCCGCUUGCUGUAGUCACUAAAAAUUUCAUUAUUUAAUCUUAGUUAAUUGGGCGGCUGACAGCGGUAAUGCCUUACUUUGUGUCCCCAUGGAUACAUAACUUACCUGCAAAGUUGGUUUUCAUGUUUUUCCCAGGGCUGAAUUUUGAUGCAACCAUAAAGCACAAUCCUGAAUGUGUCAAUGCUGCUUCCUUGGCUUUGUAUUUUGUCUUUUCAAAAUCUAUUGAGUGAGCGGCUCUCUCGACUCGUGUGUCAUGUUUUAAUUAAUAUCUUAUGUGCAGUUAUCAUUUUUAAAAUUGAACUUUCAAUUUUGUGAUAAGGCAGUAGUGCAUCAAUUCACUAUUUUAUUUUCACUUUAAUAUUCACCGUACAUUUUAUUGUAAUAUGCUUUUCUAAUCAUAUUUCAUUGUCUUCUGGAAAUUAAUUUCCUAAGUGCAAUCAUGUGAUGUCCUGCUGUGAUGCCUAAUCAUAUUUAACUUUGUUGAUGAUAACUUACAGAAGGCAUUCUGAAAUAUUGAAAUGUAAGUCUCGGCAUUGGGAGAUGAAUGGUGGCGACAUUUUUUAAGCUACACAGUUUUAUCUGCUUGCUUUAGUUGUGUGAAGUAUAAUAGUAAUAAGUGUUUGGAUUUAACCACAAUAUGAUUAUGAGGGACGUCGUAGUGGAGGGCUCCUGAAAUUUCGACCACCUGGGUUCUAUAAGGUGCACCUAAAUCUAAGUACACGGGCUUCAAGUAUUUCUUCCUCGAUCGAAACUGUGGCCACCAAGGCCGGGAUUUGAUCGUGUGACCUUCGGUUCAGCAGUCAAGGGCGACUUAAAGUGUACUACUUUUGUGUGGGCUAUAGUUUCUUGCUUCAAAUUAUGCAUGCUAAGUAUGGCAUUUUGGUGCCAACCACGCAUCUCUGGUAGUGCACUGAUGUUGUGUUUGCCACAUUCUUCAUUUAUUGCAAUAUUUUUUAUUUGUGUAUUUAUUCUGAGUUUGUGGUGAAGUUAUGAUUGUUCCACUUCUUCCACUCUAGAAGGUUGCACACAUUUGUAAUUAACCCAUGAAGCCCAACAAGUCACUCUGAUACACUUGGGUGUGCAAAACUUAUCCAAGUAGCCCAUAGUGUUUAUAAUGCCUUGCAAAGUGCCUCUUGGUCAUAAAUUGCUGUCAUGAUGAGUUUCUUAAAACAUUUGUUUUUGCGUUUCCCCAGAAAUGAAUGUACUCUUCAUUACCAAAAAAGAUGCAGAACAAGUUAAAACUUUUAAAAUGUUAAUGAUGUGUUCAGGCGUUAUGGGGUUAAGGCUGAUCUGUUAACCUUAUUUUUCUUCAACCGCCGACAUAUGUACAUUGCCAGUUUGAAUAUUGUCUAUGAAGUGCUCUAAACUGUACAGUGUAAAUGAUAAUAAAUGAUUAAUAUUGCA